rnacentral:rRNA from 1 species
AUACGGAGGAUGCGAGCGUUAUCCGGAUUUAUUGGGUUUAAAGGGAGCGUAGGUGGGAUAUUAAGUCAGCUGUGAAAGUUUGGGGCUCAACCUUAAAAUUGCAGUUGAUACUGGUUUCCUUGAGUACGGUACAGGUGGGCGGAAUUCGUGGUGUAGCGGUGAAAUGCUUAGAUAUCACGAAGAACUCCGAUCGCGAAGGCAGCUCACCGGGCCGGAACUGACACUGAUGCUCGAAAGUGCGGGUAUCAAACAGGAUUAGAUACCCUGGUAGUCCGCACAGUAAACGAUGAAUACUCGCUGUUUGCGAUACACUGUAAGCGGCCAAGCGAAAGCGUUAAGUAUUCCACCUGGGGAGUACGCUGGCAACGGUGAAACUCAAAGGAAUUGGCGGGG